rnacentral:rRNA from 1 species
CCUACGGGAGGCAGCAGUGGGGAAUAUUGGACAACGGGCGAAAGCCUGAUCCAGCCAUGCCGCGUGUGUGAAGAAGGCCUUCGGGUUGUAAAGCACUUUCAGUGGGGAAGAAAGCCUUGGGGCUAAUACCCUCGAGGAAGGACAUCACCCACAGAAGAAGCACCGGCUAACUCCGUGCCAGCAGCCGCGGUAAUACGGAGGGUGCGAGCGUUAAUCGGAAUUACUGGGCGUAAAGCGCGCGUAGGCGGUCUGAUAAGCCGGUUGUGAAAGCCCCGGGCUCAACCUGGGAACGGCAUCCGGAACUGUCAGGCUAGAGUGCAGGAGAGGAAGGUAGAAUUCCCGGUGUAGCGGUGAAAUGCGUAGAGAUCGGGAGGAAUACCAGUGGCGAAGGCGGCCUUCUGGACUGACACUGACGCUGAGGUGCGAAAGCGUGGGUAGCAAACAGGAUUAGAUACCCUUGUAGUC